GUGCUGCUUGUUAAUGAAUGCAAAGAACAGCCAGAGACUGCGGGAGCCUGCUGCGGCUUUGCAGAUCAACUGUCCACGCACAGAUCCUGUCUGUGAGCUGAUAAAGCUUUGUAACUAGAAGGAAAACAGCAAGCAGCAUGGGAUGCGGAAGCAGAAGGCCUGUGUUCUGGACGGACUCUGCUCUGAUGGGUGUGUGCUCCAUGCUCCUGUACACUUGCUCAGCCUCUCCUGUUCCUGUGGAAGUGGGGUGCUGCCGCAGACCUGUGUGGAGGACGAGGUGCUCAGCGUUUGGGAAGAUUUAGCCAUGGGGCAAGAAAGAAGGAUUUAUUCUAGGAUCACAGGACUUCCCUCUUUGGAUCUACUUCCCGUGGAAAUCCCCGUAAAGAUCGUAUCUUGUCUCCGUCUGCUGAGGCAUAAAGAAAAAUGCCAUGAAAGGAGAGCAGAGGAGAGGUUUGGAACACACGGAGGAUGCUUGCACGCAGAGGAUCUCGUGCGGCUAAAGGAAGACUUUCAUCUCUCCCUUUCAUUUCUCCAGGGAGGGUUAGCUGCUCCCAGCUUUCAAAUCCCCCUUCAGCGACUGGGUUGCAGCAACUGGCAAAACUGCUUUCAUGGUCUCGGAAGCAUCCCUGGAGCUCCGAGAGGCCAAUUCCUGCAAAGGAGCCCUACCAAUCCAAAGGCAGUCCCACGCUGCAGAGCGCGAGCAGGCAGUGAGAGCGCCGGCCUGGGAGGAGUGCUGCGGCAUCCCAGGUGCACUUUACAAGGGCAAAGUCCGACCCCGUCUCAGAUAUCAAAGUCGUGCUCCAUGCAGCAUGGCCCUUAA
rnacentral:lncRNA from 1 species